GAGCAUCAUCAAGAUUCACAAAAUUAAACACAUUAGGGCUAGUAGUGUGGGGUUUGUGGUGGUGGGUGACGGUGAUGGCCCCUUCUGCUCUUUUUUUUUUCAGUGGUCCCGUUGCUUAUUUCACUGCAACACCCUUGGCUCUCUCUCUUUGAUUAUGGGAAUCUUGAUGAUGCUGCA
rnacentral:pre_miRNA from 1 species